UGGGCAACCUGCCCCUCUCUCUGGGAUAACCCCGGGAAACCGGAGCUAACACCGGAUACUCCGGCUGGAUCGCAUGGUCCGGCCGGGAAAGGUCCGCCGGAGAGGGGUGGGCCCGCGGCCUAUCAGCUUGUUGGUGAGGUAACGGCUCACCAAGGCUACGACGGGUAGCUGGUCUGAGAGGACGACCAGCCACACUGGAACUGAGAUACGGUCCAGACUCCUACGGGAGGCA
rnacentral:rRNA from 1 species